rnacentral:rRNA from 1 species
ACGUUACCCGCAGAAGAAGCACCGGCUAACUCCGUGCCAGCAGCCGCGGUAAUACGGAGGGUGCAAGCGUUAAUCGGAAUUACUGGGCGUAAAGCGCACGCAGGCGGUCUGUCAAGUCGGAUGUGAAAUCCCCGGGCUCAACCUGGGAACUGCAUUCGAAACUGGCAGGCUUGAGUCUUGUAGAGGGGGGUAGAAUUCCAGGUGUAGCGGUGAAAUGCGUAGAGAUCUGGAGGAAUACCGGUGGCGAAGGCGGCCCCCUGGACAAAGACUGACGCUCAGGUGCGAAAGCGUGGGGAGCAAACAGG